GACGAACGCUGGCGGCGUGCUUAACACAUGCAGGUCGAACGGAAAGGCCCUGCUUUUGUGGGGUGCUCGAGUGGCGAACGGGUGAGUAACACGUGAGUAACCUGCCCUUGACUUUGGGAUAACUUCAGGAAACUGGGGCUAAUACCGGAUAGGAGCUCCUGCUGCAUGGUGGGGGUUGGAAAGUUUCGGCGGUUGGGGAUGGACUCGCGGCUUAUCAGCUUGUUGGUGGGGUAGUGGCUUACCAAGGCUUUGACGGGUAGCCGGCCUGAGAGGGUGACCGGCCACAUUGGGACUGAGAUACGGCCCAGACUCCUACGGGAGGAAGCAGUGGGGAAUAUUGCACAAUGGGCGGAAGCCUGAUGCAGCAACGCCGCGUGCGGGAUGACGGCCUUCGGGUUGUAAACCGCUUUCGCCUGUGACGAAGCGUGAGUGACGGUAAUGGGUAAAGAAGCACCGGCUAACUACGUG
rnacentral:rRNA from 1 species